rnacentral:rRNA from 1 species
UACGGAGGGUGCGAGCGUUGUCCGGAUUUAUUGGGUUUAAAGGGUGCGUAGGCGGCCCGUUAAGUCCGGGGUGAAAGCCCGCUGCUCAACAGCGGAACUGCCCUGGAUACUGACGGGCUUGAGUACAGACGAGGUUGGCGGAAUGGACCGAGUAGCGGUGAAAUGCAUAGAUACGGUCCAGAGCCCCGAUUGCGAAGGCAGCUGACUAGGCUGUUACUGACGCUGAGGCACGAAAGCGUGGGGAGCGAACAGG